CCCCCCCCCCCCCCCCACACACACACACACACACACACAUACACACAUACCCUGCAUCUGUACAACAUUAAUAUACUUAGAGAAGCCCCCGCAGCUACUGAUAUGGCUGAAACAAUGCACACGUAUCACAUAUUGUCUUGUUAACCUGAGGUUCAUAGAUCACAGCCUUCCAUGCGCAAAGCUUCCAUGACCCACAUGAAACAUCUCUCUCCACAUUGUAAACUGUGAAAGAAAAACUCAUACGUUAACAAUUAUCCGUCCGUAAGGACAUGCUCUAGUGUUCGGCCUUGCGCAUGCUACAAUGUUCUACAUGUUCAACUUAAUGUGCAUUCGUGUACGACAUGCCUGCCCACGAGGAGACAGAAGUCACAUUGCUGAAGACAACACCCUUGCCCUCUGCUUCGAAACGAGACAUUGCUCAUAAGAUGAUCAAACAGUGAAACUAUGACGUUACCCACAGUGUUUCUAAUAUUACAAGAGUAAUGAUCCACUUAGACGAGGUCUGGAUUUUGAUUAUUUUUCAAAUGAUCACUGAUGCUCUUUCGCGGCUGAGACUGGAGAGUGUACAGCACCCGUUCUUAUACGCAACCGAUGAUGCAAUUAAAUGUUUAAUGGUUUGCCAACAUAUUACUUACUAUCUGUGCUUGCUUGUGCUUCCCAGCUGUCUAAUUUGUCUCAUUCACAAGCCGCAGUCACACACAGCACAAAGAGAUGGCUUGCAUCUCUCUCUCUCUCUCUCUCUCUCUCUCUCUCAUGCUUUGUUCUUUCUGUUUUUGGGGGUGUGGAUGUUGAGGCUUUCUGUAUGGGGAAUGCUCAUUGCUCUGCAGCAAUCUUCUGCUGAACAUGCCUUAGAUCUUGUCUGUGUUUCAUCGCUUUUGAGGAGUCCGUCUUUUUCGAUAUUUUCAAUAGUAUUUGACUUGCAGCAACCUGAAGCAGGAUUGUACAUAUAUAUAUCUUCUCUUUUGAAACAGCUAACCCAGAUACAUACUGAUUUCAAGCCUUUUUUUGAAGGACAACUGAUUUGAAGUGGCAGGUCAUUUCCUGCCUGCGACACCCAGGCUUUUUCUUCUGAGCCAACCUGAUUUGAAUGUGGUGUGUGCGCCGGGGUGAAGAGGACACGGUUAACACCGUUGACACUGUGCUGACAUCCAUCUCCGGCUGUGUUCCACCCCC
rnacentral:lncRNA from 13 species